rnacentral:lncRNA from 1 species
CAUGGUUGCUGAUCUAAAAGAAAACUGUUUUGUAGCAAUACUGGAGAUGCAAGCCUCAGUAAAGUGAGCUGAAGGACAUAAACAUAACCAAUAAGAAAGAAGAGGUGUAGACAAUUGUUUCCAGGAGUAUAGCUUUAAAAGCAGAGAAAAAGAUAAGUUGGUAGAUGGUAUGUGGAAGACAUACUGUUGAGAGACUGAGUUUUAUUUCUUUGUUUUAUUGUUUCUUUUAGGAUGGCUGAUAUUAGACAUGCAUGUGCAUACAGCAAAGGGAGUAACCCAAUAGUGAGGAAGAAAUUGAUGCUGUAGGAGAGAGGGAAUAAUUGCCAAAGCAAAGAUCUUGAGGUACUGAGAAAGGAUGACCUUAAUUUCCUUAAUGAUGCAGCCUGCUUCCACCGAGGGACUGAAGGCUCCUUGAGCAAAAUUAUCUACCUGUUCACCUUUGGAUCUUUCACAGUUCCCAGGUCAGUGUACUACAGAUUUUACUCACGAAAUAAAAAAUCAUUGUCAUGGUUUACCUAAAUGCCAGAAGUGUUAAUAAUCCAAAUGACGCCUUUAUUCCCUCCCAUAAGCUUUAUAAAUCUAUAGGAUUAGAGAAAGGAAUCACCUAGAUAUUCCUGGUGGUAAUGGAAAAUUGUUCAACCACUCUGGGAAAUUGUUUGGCAUUUUCCUAUAAAACUAAACAUGCAAUUACCAUAUGAUCCAGAAAUUGCACUCCUGGGCAUUUAUCCCAGAGAAAUGAAAACUUAAGUUCACACAAAAUACUUGUAUUAUCCAUGUUUUCAUGUUUCUGUAUCUGAUGUUUUGACAUCUAAGGCCUUGUUGAUAGGGAGGGACUGCCUCUCCCACAGGUUUAGCAGUUGGAUUUCCUAGAGUUAGCAGAGGGACUUUUGACUCUCACUAGAGUGAGCCUUUCAUAUGUGUGUUAGUCCAUUUUCACACUGUUAUUGUCUGUAUCUGCCCAUUUUCACGCUGCUAUAAAGAAUACCUGAGACUGGGUAAUUUACAAAGGAAAGAGGUUUGACUCACAGUUCUGCAUGGCUGGGGAGGCCUCAGGAAAUUUACCAUCAUGGUGGAAGGUGAAAAGGAAGCAAGGCGCUUCUUACACAGUGGAAGGAGAGGGAGAG